AGUGAACGCUGGCGGUAGGCCUAACACAUGCAAGUCGAACGGCAGCACAGUAAGAGCUUGCUCUUACGGGUGGCGAGUGGCGGACGGGUGAGGAAUACAUCGGAAUCUACUUUUUCGUGGGGGAUAACGUAGGGAAACUUACGCUAAUACCGCAUACGACCUACGGGUGAAAGCAGGGGAUCUUCGGACCUUGCGCGAUUGAAUGAGCCGAUGUCGGAUUAGCUAGUUGGCGGGGUAAAGGCCCACCAAGGCGACGAUCCGUAGCUGGUCUGAGAGGAUGAUCAGCCACACUGGAACUGAGACACGGUCCAGACUCCGACGGGAGGCAGCAGUGGGGAAUAUUGGACAAUGGGCGCAAGCCUGAUCCAGCCAUACCGCGUGGGUGAAGAAGGCCUUCGGGUUGUAAAGCCCUUUUGUUGGGAAAGAAAAGCAGCAGGUUAAUACCCCGCUGUUCUGACGGUACCCAAAGAAUAAGCACCGACUAACUUCGUG
rnacentral:rRNA from 1 species